rnacentral:rRNA from 1 species
AACGAACGCUGGCGGCAUGCCUAACACAUGCAAGUCGAACGAUGCUUUCGGGCAUAGUGGCGCACGGGUGCGUAACGCGUGGGAAUCUGCCCUUGGGUUCGGAAUAACAGUGAGAAAUUGCUGCUAAUACCGGAUGAUGUCUUCGGACCAAAGAUUUAUCGCCCAGGGAUGAGCCCGCGUAGGAUUAGCUAGUUGGUGGGGUAAUGGCCUACCAAGGCGACGAUCCUUAGCUGGUCUGAGAGGAUGAUCAGCCACACUGGGACUGAGACACGGCCCAGACUCCUACGGGAGGCAGCAGUGGGGAAUAUUGGACAAUGGGCGCAAGCCUGAUCCAGCAAUGCCGCGUGAGUGAUGAAGGCCUUAGGGUUGUAAAGCUCUUUUACCCGGGAUGAUAAUGACAGUACCGGGAGAAUAAGCUCCGGCUAACUCCAUG